AUCGAUGAAGAACGCAGCGAAAUGCGAUAAGUAAUGUGAAUUGCAGAAUUCAGUGAAUCAUCGAAUCUUUGAACGCACCUUGCGCUCCUUGGUAUUCCGAGGAGCAUGCCUGUUUGAGUGUCAUUAAUAUAUCAACCUUCUCUUUUUGAGUGGUUUGGAUGUGGGGGUUUGCUGGCCUCUUAAAAAGGUCUUGGCUCUCCUGAAAUACAUUAGCAGAACAACCCUGUUCAUUGGUGUGAUAACUAUCUACGCUAUUGAAUGUGAAGGGCAGUUUGGCUUUCUAACAGUCCUUGGACAAGCUCAUCAUUAAUGUGACCUCAAAUCAGGUAGGACUACCCGCUGAACUUAAGCAUAUCAAUAAGCGGAGGAAAAGAAACUAACAAGGAUUCCCCUAGUAACUGCGAGUGAAGCGGGAAAAGCUCAAAUUUAAAAUCUGGCGGUCUUUUGGCUGUCCGAGUUGUAAUCUAGAGAAGUGUUAUCCGCGCUGGACCGUGUACAAGUUUCCUGGAAUGGAGCAUCAUAGAGGGUGAGAAUCCCGUCUUUGACAUGGACUACCAGGGCUUUGUGAUGCGCUCUCAAAGAGUCGAGUUGUUUGGGAAUGCAGCUCAAAAUGGGUGGUAAAUUCCAUCUAAAGCUAAAUAUUGGCGAGAGACCGAUAGCGAACAAGUACCGUGAGGGAAAGAUGAAAAGAACUUUGGAAAGAGAGUUAAACAGUACGUGAAAUUGCUGAAAGGGAAACGCUUGAAGUCAGUCGCGUCAUCCAGGGAUCAACCUUGCUUUUGCUUGGUGCACUUUCUGGUUUGAUGGGUCAGCAUCAAUUUUGACCAUUGGAAAAAGGUCAAGGGAAUGUGGCAUCUUCGGAUGUGUUAUAGCCCUUGGUCACAUACAAUGGUUGGGAUUGAGGAACUCAGCACGCCGCAAGGCCGGGUUUUUAACCACGUUCGUGCUUAGGAUGCUGGCAAUAUGGCUUUAAUCGACCCGUCUUGAAACACGG
rnacentral:rRNA from 1 species